rnacentral:lncRNA from 1 species
CGCGGGACGUGGGCGCCGUCGGGGCCAUCGUGGCGCCAACCCCAGGGCAGGAACGGGAGUGGGGCCUUGCCCCUCGUCUCCAACGCCCCUUCUUUCCUUCCCCACUUGGGGCCCAGGAGGACUCCCAGCCCCGCUCCAAGCCUGCAGGGGACCCAGCGGCAGGACCCAGUCUGGCCUCAGGGAGACCCCACGGGGUCAGGAGAGGAAGGAACAAGCUCCACCCGCUGCUCGGAGCUGGACAGGGAAACUGAGUCAAGAUUGGAGCGCAGCCUCCUCGCCGGAAGCGCUGGACCCUGAGGCUCUAGGCACCCGAAACUCCCUCCCGGGCGGCCACCGAAGUCGGGGUUCCCCGGUCCCCCACUCUCGGUGUUGGCUGGUGAAACGGAGCCCUAGAGAAGAGCCAGCCCAGGGGUCCUUGGAGCUCAUUUCAUUUCCGCUGCCGGGAAACUGAGUCAAGAUUGGAGCGCAGCCUCCUCGCCGGAAGCGCUGGACCCUGAGGCUCUAGGCACCCGAAACUCCCUCCCGGGCGGCCACCGAAGUCGGGGUUCCCCGGUCCCCCACUCUCGGUGUUGGCUGGUGAAACGGAGCCCUAGAGAAGAGCCAGCCCAGGGGUCCUUGGAGCUCAUUUCAUUUCCGCUGCCCCUGAUCCCGAUGNNNNNNNNNNNNNNNNNNNNNNNNNNNNNNNNNNNNNNNNNNNNNNNNNNNNNNNNNNNNNNNNNNNNNNNNNNNNNNNNNNNNNNNNNNNNNNNNNNNNNNNNNNNNNNNNNNNNNNNNNNNNNNNGAGCCGAGCGCUGUCCGGGGUGCUGGACGGACCCCUCCUUCCUGCUUGGUCGCCAGAGGGCCGUUGAGGAGGGGUCGGGGCAGCCUGGACAGGGGCUUGGCCCGCGCCUGUGUGUGGCAUCCAGAAGACCACGGCCACCAUCUGCGGAGCGCUCACUGCGUGCUGAGGCUCAGGGUCCUCGCGUCCAGGAACGUCUCGAGAGUGCUAAUCUGCCCUCCUCCUUGGGGACAGACUGAGGGGAAAGCGCCGGGCCUAGGGCUCCUCCCUGGACAGCCCUGCCAGAUCCGCAGAGCAGACCUUGAAGACGACGGAUUGGAGACUAACGCCCGUGGGAGCCUCUGUGACACCUGAUUUUCAGUCUUUCUGCUCCAUCCCUGCCUGUUGCUGUAAAGGAUUCCAGCCACAUAAACCGAAGUUCCCUCAGCCAAAGGAUUCUGGGGUUGCUGGUUACGUGGGAGAAGUGGUCACUUAGCACCAGGGGAAGUACCCUGGUGAUGUGCACCUAUAUUCCUAGCACUCUGAACCCAGCCUGGACAGCUGGGAAAUUUAUCAAGACCCUGUCUCAAAAUAAACAAUAAAAAAGGCCCGGGGAUGUAGCUUGGGACAAAAGGCCAAGUCCAAUCACCAGCCUGCAAAAAUGAAAAAAAAAAAAAAAAAAAAAAAAAAAAAACACUCAGUUUCCCCUGCUGUAAAAUUGGGCUGAUAGCUGUAGGGAGUAAACAUCCAGGGGAAGCUUGCUAGUGUCACUGCUGGCGGACUCCGUAGAGGACUCCAGAGGGCCCAAUGGAGACCCCUGAGAGGUCAGAGGGGCCUGGCAGAGCACUGGCAGCCUGAGUUUGAUGGCACCCCAACCUCCUGGAAGUAGAACCUAGACCUCCGGAGCAAGCCCAUGCAACCAGGUGGAAGUUGUCAGAAACACACCGGGCCACAGAGGGCACAGGGCUUGGGUUCUGAAGGCACCUGGGAGGUCACCAGAGGUCACCAUGCAGACUCAGGCAGGCAGCAGCCUGCACAGAAGACAGACAGGACUCCAGGAGUUUUGGAAAUAGCUUCACGCUACAGCACAUCCAGUGCAGCCCUGUGCCAGCCUGGGCCAGGAGAUGGUGACACAGCCAGAUGGGGCUGGGCUCCCACAGGGCCUGGUGUGGGUGGCGUGGGCUGUGAGAGGCAGGAGACAGGUUGUGCCAAGGGCACAGAUAUCCAUGGCGCUCCCACAGCCUAAGCUGAUUGCUGCAGCUCCCUCUCCUGCCCAGCGGGCCUGGCUCCUCCAUUUCUCACCGGGCCUUGCCUGUGUGCCCUCUGGAGCCUUCCCGUGUCCUUUCUUGGGGUCGUGGGGCCCUCUCUGGUUUUGACGUCUUCCUAAGGCCCUUGCCCUCACAGCCCCAAACCUGAGAUCGAGUCCCCCAGUCCGGGACAUCGGCCCUGGAACUUGAAUCUUCGGCCCACAGUGCCAAUGGUCCCGGGCACUCCGCCCUCCCUCCUUUGCCUUCUCCCUCCUGGGGAUCUGAGUGGCCUUGGGUCUGGAGUGGCCCUUGGGAUCUGCCCCUGUUCCGGGCCUUUGUCUUCGAAGUUCCCCCACCCAACAUAUCCCUUGUUAACACUCAAAAUCCAGCCUGCUUACAGCGCCCUUUGCACGGAGGCCCUUUCCGGCAUGAACAGCUCCGCCUUCCCGCCCCGCUGUCCUGUUCUCCUGGUACUUGUGCCCUCUGGAGUCACCACGGUUGUUGCUGGUUUGUGCCCCCAGAGCAGCUCCGAACGGCCCUGAGCACGGGACCACUGUCCAAUUCUAACCCAGUUUUGCUUAGUUUUUUCCUGGGGCGGAUUAGGAAAGCAGACCGGGUACCCUCGUCGCUGUCGCCGGAGGGCGGGCUGGCGGGGCGGGG